CCUUCCAACCCUAACAAUUCUGUGAUUCUGUGAUUCUUUAAAUCAAGAGCACAUAGAUUUUCCUGCAAGUGUAAUCAUACCCAAACAAAAAACAUUUAGAAUAAAUUUUAGGUCACAUCCUUGUCAUAGGUUUUCUUUUUUUUUUUUUUUUCAUUAGCUUCUGGUAAUUUUUUCACACCAACUGCUUGGCUAAGGGUGGAGACAAGUUUUUCAGGUUUUGGUGAUUGCUCAGCUUAGACGUUAAUGACUGCCUUGUUGAUAUGCUAAGCAACUCCUCUGGGCAAGAGGCAGGACUCUUUUGUUUCCCUCUAGCCGAGGUCAGGAGUGGGGGUUUGGUAUUCUUUUUUCUCUGCCUCAGGGGGGAAGGACGGGGUUACGGGCAGAACUUGGGGGGUGAGUGUGGCGGGUGGAGAAAAAAAAGCUCCAUUCAUUCCGGCUGCUUUUGGGCCCCAGCUCACCUCUGUUUUCCUCUCACUCCCUGUCCUGCCCACUGUCGGCUAGCUCAGCUCGGAUUUCAUCGGAGCUGCCAAGAACCAGGGGAGCUCCAUUUGGUUUCUCCAGUGAGAGAGCGCCCCUGCAGGACGGCACCCACCUCUGCUGUCACGGAGACUGCCAGCAUCUUAGCCCUCAGUCUAAAAAGAAGCAACUGAGGAUAGAGGUCCACAAAAGCAUGACACCCUGCAUCUGCCAGGCAACUUGGAAAAGGCAUUUGGAGCUGACUGUCCAGGAAGGGCAUUGUAACAUCAAUCAUAGAAGAAGUAAUUUGAUGAGCCAAGGUCUUCAGGGAGAGAUAAUGUCUCAUUAAAUCAAACACUAUACUUGAGGAAGAGAUGACAAA